GACGAACGCUGGCGGCGUGCUUAACACAUGCAAGUCGAACGCAGUGGCGAACGGGUGAGUAACGCGUAAUCAACCUGCCCUUCAGCGGGGGACAACAGUUGGAAACGACUGCUCAUACCGCAUACGGAAGGAGGGGCUGGCGUCGGAUUAGCGAGUUGGAGGGGUAACGGCCCACCAAGGCGAUGAUCAGUAGCCGGUCUGAGAGGAUGAUCGGCCACAUUGGGACUGAGACACGGCCCAGACUCCUACGGGAGGCAGCAGUGGGGAAUCUUCCGCAAUGGACGAAAGUCUGACGGAGCAACGCCGCGUGAGUGAUGACGGCUUUCGGGUGGUAAAGCUCUGUUAAUCGGGACGCGGUACCGGAAUAGAAAGCCACGGCUAACUACGUGCCAGCAGCCGCGGUAAUAC
rnacentral:rRNA from 1 species